UAGAAGUGUUCCCUCUCAAAAUGGGGACCUUA
rnacentral:piRNA from 1 species